CUUUCAUCCAGUCGCUGCGCUCCGCGUGCGCUUUCAUCUUUAGCUGUGCUUGUUCGUUCGGUUACGCCAACGACGACGCUCACCGCAGGAAGAAGCGCUUAAAGACACUCGGCAAGAGCACCUCAGUCUCGGUGCCAGUCUGAGGAUGAAGACAUCUCAAGCUUGCUCAGCCCAAAUUACAGUGAGCCUGCAGCAUCGUCCGGGUCCACUGCUACGAGCAGACAACAACCACCAGCACAGCCACCAGCGCAGCCCCAGCAAACACCACGGAUGGUGGCACCACAGUCUCGGUAGUUCUGGUGUUCAAUAUUCCUGCGAAACAUUUCACUUGUAUGAAAGCGUCUAUUAGAACAGCAUGCAUGUCACUGCAGUAAAAAAAAAGAAAGAACAGCCACUUCGAGACAGCGGCUCAAGAGGUCGUGGGAAGCUUCAACAGCGUGUUAACAAAGAUGAAGAAAUCAAAGGAGCUCGCAGUUCCCAGCAUCUCAUUUGGUGAAAACCAGGAAGCUGCCAACUGGAUGGCAACAAAACUGCACAAAGUUUACAGCAAGAAAACGCGCUGAAUGACGUUUCAAGAUACACACUUAUUUUUGAGGCCAAAAUGUAAU